AGCCUUCUGUAUCCGUGCUGAGAUUUCGUCACACACCAGACCACAAGGGUUGAUGAAACUUGCAAGUUAAACGAAGCG
rnacentral:pre_miRNA from 1 species